ACACCAAAAGCAGAAUGCAUCUUAUGCUCAAUUGAAAUUGCAGUGUGGUAUUCCCGCAAAGCUUACCGCCAAACACGAAGCAGCCCCUAAGUUCAACGCUCGAGGAUCAAUCACUAAUCUUGAUGAGCAUGGCAGUGAAAAUGGGCAUCCAUGCUUUUAUUUAUUGUCAUUUCCCACAGCAACAAUAAGGUAAAUGUUCAGACUAGUUGGUGGGUCAUCCUAAAAUAUAUAUGCUUACAGCACAAGACUAAACCAAGACAAAGACAAGAAAACACGGACAGUGCUGUCUGUGUCCUUGCAGCGCUGUCCGAGUUUUCUCGUCUCUGUCCAAAUUCAGUCCCGAGCUAUAAGCACAUAUUUUAGGAGCACCAGUAAGGCAACACGUACAUGAAUAGCCAUAAACACGAAUGAAAAAAAAUUUAUAUAUUAAUACUAACACAUAAAAUAGAAAAGACUAGAAACGUGGAGAAGAUUGAUGGCCAUAGGGCACCACAUAAAAAGUUACAUACAAACCAACAACUAAGUGCUCGGCAGUUAACAGUUUACUCAAAAAAACUUGGUUUAUAGGCCGAUUAUGCGAGAGAAAAAUGCAUGGAAGUGCUAGUCAACGAUUACACCUUUUUGGCUGUGCAAUGAUGUCAAUGCAAUGCGUGUUUAGUCAAGGUUUCAAGGGACAACAAAAGCACAUGUUAAUAAAAGUACCAAUUAGUGUUCGAAGUAUCCAAAGCAUCACUUUUAUAUCAAGAACAGAGCAUUCCACAGUAAGAAAAUGGCAUAAACAUAAGACAGGAUCAGGACUGCUAUUGGAAAAGUAUGGUACCAAUUUCGGUGACACAACGUCCAACGUUUACAUUUGGUAAACUGAAGCAGGCAUAGCAAAAAAUGGCAGUUGUCCUUACUUUAUCCUACAGAAGAGCUCGUCGGUGCUACCCCUUCACUCUGUCAGCACUAUUUAGGGCAAUGCGAUGCCCUCCAAGUGCAGCCCCCACACUCAAAACAGACAGUUGUGCCCCACAGAAUAUUACCUCCGAGAUGUCCAGCACAGCUAAAGAAGUGAUUUCGCACGGGCAAUGAGAAUCGUGGGAGAAUUGAAACUUAAUUUGCA
rnacentral:lncRNA from 1 species